rnacentral:rRNA from 1 species
GACGAACGCUGGCGGCGUGCCUAAUACAUGCAAGUCGAACGCUGAAGAGAGGAGCUUGCUCUUCUUGGAUGAGUUGCGAACGGGUGAGUAACGCGUAGGUAACCUGCCUUGUAGCGGGGGAUAACUAUUGGAAACGAUAGCUAAUACCGCAUAACAAUGGAUGACACAUGUCAUUUAUUUGAAAGGGGCAAUUGCUCCACUACAAGAUGGACCUGCGUUGUAUUAGCUAGUAGGUGAGGUAAUGGCUCACCUAGGCGACGAUACAUAGCCGACCUGAGAGGGUGAUCGGCCACACUGGGACUGAGACACGGCCCAGACUCCUACGGGAGGCAGCAGUAGGGAAUCUUCGGCAAUGGGGGCAACCCUGACCGAGCAACGCCGCGUGAGUGAAGAAGGUUUUCGUAUCGUAAAGCUCUGUUGUAAGUCAAGAACGGGUGUGAGAGUGGAAAGUUCACACUGUGACGGUAGCUUACCAGAAAGGGACGGCUAACUACGUG